GACGACGCUGGCGGCGUGCCUAACACAUGCAAGUCGAGCGGAGUCGAUCGACGGAAGCCUUCGGGCGGAAGAUGGUUGACUUAGCGGCGGAUGGGUGAGUAACGCGUGGGCAACCUGCCUCGAAGACCGGGAUAACAGCCCGAAAGGGCUGCUAAUACCGGAUGUGGUCAAGGAUCCGCAUGGAUUUUGAUUAAAGGGGAAACCCGUUUCGAGAUGGGCCCGCGUCCUAUCAGCUAGUUGGUGAGGUAAAAGCUCACCAAGGCGACGACGGGUAGCCGGCCUGAGAGGGUGACCGGCCACACUGGAACUGAGACACGGUCCAGACUCCUACGGGGGGCAGCAGCGGGGAAUCUUCCACAAUGGGCGAAAGCCUGAUGGAGCGACGCCGCGUGAGCGAAGAAGGCCUUCGGGUUGUAAAGCUCUGUCUAGAGGGACGAAGGAAGUGACGGUACCUCCGGAGGAAGCCACGGCUAACUACGUG
rnacentral:rRNA from 1 species